UACGUAGGCAGCGAGCGUUGUUCGGAGUUACUGGGCGUAAAGGGUGUGUAGGCGGUUGUUUAAGUUUGGGGUGAAAUCUCCCGGCUCAACUGGGAGGGUGCGCCGAAUACUGAAUGACUUGGAGUGCGGGAGAGGAGAGUGGAAUUCCUGGUGUAGCGGUGAAAUGCGUAGAUAUCAGGAGGAACACCGGUGGUGAAGGCGGCUCUCUGGACCGUAACUGACGCUGAGACACGAAAGCGUGGGUAGCAAACAGG
rnacentral:rRNA from 1 species